UACGUAGGGGGCCAGCGUUGCUCGGAAUUACUGGGCGUAAAGGGUUCGUAGGCGGUGUGGCAAGUCGGAAGUGAAAUCUCCAGGCUUAACUUGGAGGCUGCUCCCGAAACUGCCAUGCUAGAGUGCGGGAGAGGCGAGUGGAAUUGCAGGUGUAGCGGUGAAAUGCGUAGAUAUCUGCAGGAACACCCGUGGCGAAGGCGGCUCGCUGGACCGCAACUGACGCUGAGGAACGAAAGCUAGGGGAGCAAACAGGAUUAGAUACCCUGGUAGUCCUAGCCCUAAACGAUCAGGACUUGGGGUGCAUCCCGUUGGGGGUGCGUCCCGUAGCUAACGCGUUAAGUCCUGCGCCUGGGGAGUACGGUCGCAAGGCUGAAACUCAAAG
rnacentral:rRNA from 1 species